AAGUCGUAACAAGGUCUCCGUUGGUGAACCAGCGGAGGGAUCAUUAUCGAGUUACACAACUCCCAACCCUAUGUGAACCUUACCUCUGUUGCUUCGGCGGAACCGCCCCGGCGCCAACGGCCCGGAACCAGGCGCCCGCCGGGGGACCCCAACCUUCUGUUGUCACAAGCCUUUCUGAGUGGCGUACGCGCAAAUCAAAUCAAAACUUUCAACAACGGAUCUCUUGGCUCUA
rnacentral:misc_RNA from 1 species